AUGAACGCUGGCGGCGUGCAUAACACAUUCAAGUCGAACGGAGACGUUAGAAGCUUGCUUUUGAUGUCUUAGUGGCGGACGGGUGAGUAACGCGUGAGCAACCUGCCUUUCAGAGGGGGACAACAGUUGGAAACGACUGCUAAUACCGCAUAACGCAGCAGUACCGCAUGGUACAACUGCCAAAGGAGCAAUCCGCUGAAAGAUGGCCUCGCGUCUGAUUAGAUAGUUGGUGGGGUAACGGCCUACCAAGUCGACGAUCAGUAGCCGGCCUGAGAGGGUGAUCGGCCACAUUGGGACUGAGACACGGCCCAAACUCCUACGGGAGGCAGCAGUGGGGAAUAUUCCGCAAUGGGCGCAAGCCUGACGGAGCAACGCCGCGUGAAUGAAGAAGGUCUUCGGAUUGUAAAGUUCUGUCCUUAGGGACGAAGAAGCCAUGCGAAUAGUUUGGCGUAUGACGGUACCUAAGAAGAAAGCUCCGGCUAACUACGUG
rnacentral:rRNA from 1 species